rnacentral:lncRNA from 1 species
GUUAGUCCCUGCGGGCGAAAUUCCUGAGUACCCGUCCUGAGGAGGCUGCCAUGCUGGCUCCUGAGAGCCACCCGGGCGUCUCUGUGACCUCAGGCCGGAGGUUCGCCCGAGACGUGGCGGAAAGCUGGCUUAGUGUUGAAACCGGGUAACUGUAAACAGACCACAUAAAUAGCCUUCUUUUACUGUGGUAGUUACCUCUGACCACCAUCCUUUGCCCUGAGGGCGGUGCUAAAAGACGUAAGCCACAACGUGGAGGGUGGUUAAGAAAACAGUUGCCCAAGCCGCCCAGUUUGCAGCUUGGAUUCUCAUCAGUCACAGCUUGCGUUUUAGGUACACUGAACUCUGUAAUGACCCAGUGCUUACGAUGACGAAACGAUGACUAGAAGUGAAGGUUAAAUUGUUCGUAAGACAUAACGAAGCUACUGUAGUGAGGACGUCUAUGCACAACUCUGGCAGCUUCCUAAAAGUUAGUCAAUCUUGAGCUUUUUCAAGCAUCAUUAUCUUCUUUUAAAGUACAGAGAGAAACUCCCCCUAAUGAGAAAGAUAAUGUGGCUUUGAAAUACUUACUGGAGCCUAACAUCCUUACACAAAAUGCUUUUGCUUUUACACAACAGCAACAUCCCUGCAGGAAAAAGGAUUGUUUACCACUCACCUGCGCCCAGAGCCCUACUCUCAGAAGAAUCACUGCUUUAAAACAAAAAUCUCCCUGUUCCCUAAGCAAUACAGA